rnacentral:lncRNA from 1 species
CACCAGCUCCGACCCCUCCUCCUCCUCCUGUCAUAAAACCUGCACCGAAGCUAGUGCCAAAACCUUCACCGACUCCUGCUCUGACGCCUGCUCCAACGCCUGCACCCACACCAGUACCGACUCCUGCCCCGACGCGUGCUCCAACACCUGCACCCACACCCGCACCGACCCCUGUGCCGACUCCAGCCACUACCCCUGCACCGACCCCUGCUCCAACUCCAGCCCCAACACCCGCACCAAACCCUACACCGACUCCUACUCCGACGCCCACGCCGACCCCUACACCGACACCAACACCCACACCGACCCCUGCUCCAACUCCAGCACCGACCCUUGCACCGACACAUGCACCGACGCCCGUCCCAACCCCUGCUCCAACUCCAGCGCCGACACCUGCACCGACCCCUACACCGACUCCUGCUCUGACGCCUGCUCCAACGCCUGCACCCACACCAGUACCGACUCCUGCCCCGACGCGUGCUCCAACACCUGCACCCACACCCGCACCGACCCCUGUGCCGACUCCAGCCACUACCCCUGCACCGACCCCUGCUCCAACUCCAGCCCCAACACCCGCACCAAACCCUACACCGACUCCUACUCCGACGCCCACGCCGACCCCUACACCGACACCAACAC